rnacentral:misc_RNA from 1 species
CACCACUCAAGCUCAGCUUGGUAUUGGGCCCUCGUCCCCCGGGACGUGCCUGAAAAUCAGUGGCGGUGCUGCCUGACUUCAAGCGUAGUAAUUUCUACCCUCGCUUUGGAAGCUCGGGAUCGUGUGCCCGCCAUACAACCCCCAUCUUUUAU